AUUGAACGCUGGCGGUAUGCCUUACACAUGCAAGUCGAACGGUAGAGGAGCAAUCCUCGAGAGUGGCGAACGGGUGAGUAAUACAUCGGAACGUGCCCAGUCGUGGGGGAUAACGUAGCGAAAGCUACGCUAAUACCGCAUACGACCUGAGGGUGGAAAGCGGGGGACCGGCAAGGCCUCGCGCGAUUGGAGCGGCCGAUGGCAGAUUAGGUAGUUGGUGGGGUAAAGGCCCACCAAGCCUGCGAUCUGUAGCUGGUCUGAGAGGACGACCAGCCACACUGGGACUGAGACACGGCCCAGACUCCUACGGGAGGCAGCAGUGGGGAAUUUUGGACAAUGGGCGAAAGCCUGAUCCAGCCAUACCGCGUGCGGGAAGAAGGCCUUCGGGUUGG
rnacentral:rRNA from 1 species